rnacentral:lncRNA from 1 species
CCAGAAUCGUCAUACCGGACUUGCCUUGCGAGCUGUUGUGCAGGAGGGGAAGCUUUACCUUGAGCGCAUCAAUAGUCAACUCUAGGUGGAUGAAAGAUGUUCUUUAUAUCGACCUAAAGAAAUAUAACUAUCUUUGAGAUAUACAAUUUAUGCUUUAUAGAAAGGACUUGGUUGUGCACCUGAAGGAGAUUCUCCAGUUGGAUACCUGCAAAGCCAAAAUAAAAUAAAAUAUAAUUAAAUCAUUCUUUUUUUUUAAAAAAAAAUUUACAAGUUUGCAAAACCGAAAUAAAAUAAAAUAAAGCAGUUUUUUCUUUAAACCCUCUUUUAGUAUCUUCUUCGUAUUCUAUAUCCUCUCUUUUGGGCGUUUCUAGUUGGAAACAUAGAAAGCCGAAUUAGUCGAGAUUUUCC